AAUCAACGCUGGCGGCGUGCCUAACACAUGCAAGUCGAACGCGAAAAUCCCGCAAGGGAUCAGUAGAGUGGCAAACGGGUGAGUAACGCGUGGGCGACCUACCUUCGAGUGGGGGAUAACCUUCCGAAAGGAGGGCUAAUACCGCAUGACAUCCCGUGUUUGGAUACACGGACAUCAAAGCCGGGGAUCGCAAGACCUGGCGCUUGGAGAGGGGCCCGCGUCCGAUUAGCUAGUUGGUGGGGUAAUGGCUCACCAAGGCUCCGAUCGGUAUCCGGCCUGAGAGGGCGGACGGACACACUGGAACUGAGACACGGUCCAGACUCCUACGGGAGGCAGCAGUGGGGAAUUGUUCGCAAUGGGCGCAAGCCUGACGACGCAACGCCGCGUGGAGGAUGAAGACCUUCGGGUCGUAAACUCCUUUCGACCGAGAUGAAUUUCUGCCGGCCUAACACGCUGGCGGAUUGACAGUAUCGAGGGAAGAAGCCCCGGCUAACUCCGUGC
rnacentral:rRNA from 1 species